GAUGAGCGCUGGCGGCGUGCCUAAUACAUGCAAGUCGAGCGAACAGAUGAGGAGCUUGCUCCUCCGACGUUAGCGGCGGACGGGUGAGUAACACGUGGAUAACCUACCUAUAAGACUGGGAUAACUUCGGGAAACCGGAGCUAAUACCGGAUAAUAUAUUGAACCGCAUGGUUCAAUAGUGAAAGACGGUUUUGCUGUCACUUAUAGAUGGAUCCGCGCCGCAUUAGCUAGUUGGUAAGGUAACGGCUUACCAAGGCAACGAUGCGUAGCCGACCUGAGAGGGUGAUCGGCCACACUGGAACUGAGACACGGUCCAGACUCCUACGGGAGGCAGCAGUAGGGAAUCUUCCGCAAUGGGCGAAAGCCUGACGGAGCAACGCCGCGUGAGUGAUGAAGGUCUUCGGAUCGUAAAACUCUGUUAUUGGGGAAGAACAAAUGUGUAAGUAACUAUGCACGUCUUGACGGUACCUAAUCAGAAAGCCACGGCUAACUACGUG
rnacentral:rRNA from 1 species